CCUUACAUCAGAAGGAGUAGAGGGAGCGACAUCAGGAUGACCAUUGGAUUGGGCAUGUGGAUUCGCAGCAGAUCGUUCUCUAAAUCCGAAGACGACGGAUAGGAAAGACAAGGCAAAUGGAAGGCGAGAGUUCAGCAAAUGACAUGUCAGUAUGAUCACUAUGACCGCCAGGGUAUACCCGUAAGUACACGAAGACAACGACCAUCCGUUUCCUCCUCGAUCCAUCUUCUCUUUCCAAAGUUCUGACACUAAUGGUGAAGGCCAAAUCGCAGUGCACAUUCUCUGUGUUUGCUAUAUGCAACUGGUCAGCCUAUAAAUUUUCGUCCUCCUUGGAUUUGGAAUCCAGCACUCCUAGGAUUUCUUCAGCAUCGCCCUUCCACAACUACUGUUCUAUCGCUAGGGGUUCACCUAAAUGAGAAAGUUUGGCCUUCACCCUACAAACUGGAUAAACCCAUCCUCACGGUGAUCCAUACAUCGUCCCCUCUUUUGUUUUGGGGGAAUUUCCCAAUAUUCUUUUUUUUAUUUAUUUUUGGUUUCUCACAGGUUCCCUCAUUUGAGAUGAUAAGCCCACAUUUGCUAAGUCCGGAGCCCAAUUAUGUCAAGAUUAUUAUUUUUUUUGUAUUCUGAGAUAUGCUAUAAAUAUUAUCAUAGUUUAUUGGGG
rnacentral:lncRNA from 1 species